rnacentral:rRNA from 1 species
CGGCGAGCGAGCGGGAAGAGCUCAAAUUUAUAAUCUGGCACCUUCGGUGUCCGAGUUGUAAUCUCUAGAAAUGUUUUCCGCGUUGGACCGCACACAAGUCUGUUGGAAUACAGCGGCAUAGUGGUGAGACCCCCGUAUAUGGUGCGGACGCCCAGCGCUUUGUGAUACAUUUUCGAAGAGUCGAGUUGUUUGGGAAUGCAGCUCAAAUUGGGUGGUAAAUUCCAUCUAAAGCUAAAUAUUGGCGAGAGACCGAUAGCGAACAAGUACCGUGAGGGAAAGAUGAAAAGCACUUUGGAAAGAGAGUUAACAGUACGUGAAAUUGUUGGAAGGGAAACGCUUGAAGUCAGACUUGCUUGCCGAGCAAUCGGUUUGCAGGCCAGCAUCAGUUUUCCGGGAUGGAUAAUGGUAGAGAGAAGGUAGCAGUUUCGGCUGUGUUAUAGCUCUCUGCUGGAUACAUCUUGGGGGACUGAGGAACGCAGUGUGCCUUUGGCGGGGGUUUCGACCUCUUCACACUUAGGAUGCUGGUGGAAUGGCUUUAAACGACCCGU